GUGUUCCUAAUAAUCCUUUAGGUGAGUGUAUAUAGUAUAUACAUACAAAUAUUUCUUAAAUAUAUACAUGCAUGUGUCUGUAUUUAUAUAUACAAAAUAAUUAUACACACAUACAGUACACAUAAUUAUGUAAACACAAGCUUUUAUUUUGGAUGCCAUUAAUCGUUUUACAGUCCUACGAGCAAGGAUGCAAACAACAACCAUAUAAGAAUGCGUUUGUGUAGGCUACAUUUUCUUUGAAAAGUCUAAUCCUUAUACAUGCGGUUGGUUGAUGUUGAGGAAGGCAAAUUAAUUGAAGGUCCUAAUAUUAACUUAAUAAUACUAGCAUUAUAAUAAUUGUAGCGGACCCCGCUCUAAUGAUGUUCAAAUUUGUUAAUGUUUUAUGAAGUUUAUUGCUUCCGUUUCAUCUCAGAAAAUCACCAUAAGAGGUCAACAAAGCACAAGAAGUGCGCAUUAACAACAGCCCAUUCCCUCUCUCCAUUUUAUUAUCAUCUGCUUACACAAAUUACAAAAAAAACACUCAUUACAACUAACAGUAAACAAAUGUAUACAAGACUUAUGCCUUUUCAGUAGGUGCAUAAACGUGCAAACUUUUAUUUUAAAGAAAAAUCUCCCUUUCAUUUCACGUAUCGCUCACUGUGAAAACCGUCAAAUUAAGAGUCUCUCCUCAAUAAGACAGAUAAGAGGAUUAAUCACUAUAAAGUCUGUUACAAUAAUAAUAAUUUUAUAAAUUAAUGCGAAAACGAGCCAAUUAUCCAGAUAAAGUCUUUGGUCAUACACAGAACCAUUGGGUGAAGUAGUUAUAGACGUUUUAUCAUGAAUAAAACACAGCUUUGUAACAAAUUAGCUCAAAGUGAGAUGUACAUAAUUAAUCAUAACGGGUUAUUAUUAACCACAUUCAUCUUCAGGAAUUACUUGUAGCAUUAUAGCAUUAAUAGUACAAUAAAAUAAUUUGUUCAUCCGCAGGGCGGACAGUGUCUCUAGCCACGAAAAAUAAUUUUACUACUAAUACAUUGCUCCCAGAGCAUGUAACGAAACCGGAACGUUAAAGUGACCUCGUUCUGUGAGCAGCAAACACAGACAACCAAGUGUGAAUACAUAUGGAUGUUUAUUAAAGUGAUACUCCACCGUUUUUUUCAUAUUAAACUAUGUUAGUCCCUUAACUAAGACGAGUUGAUACAUACCUCUCUCGUCUCAGUGCAUGCACUAAAUCGCUAUGUCUUGCGGCGAAACUUUGUUAGCACUUGGCUUAGCCCAGUUCAUUCAAUAGGGGCCAAGCAGAGAAGCUACCAAACACCUCCAC
ensembl:lncRNA